GCCAGGGGUGCAGGGAGCGCUGCUUGUGCAGAGGCCUGGCUGCACGGCUCCCCGGCAUUGCUGCUGCUAUGAGGUUGAGGGACAGUCAUUGUCCUGUGAAAGUCACUCUUCACUGGGGUCGAGGACUCUUGCUUCGGGGGCAUGGCCAGCCUCUGAACCUGUGGAUUUUAUCCGAGCAGAAGCCCAGGAUCUGCAGGAGGCAAGCUGGAGGAGAGCUGGGAGAGUGAAUGAUACAAUUCUAGCCCAAGUCCAGAGCCUUGAGGACCAGAAUAGCCAACAUGGUCAUUCUAACUCAAGUCUGAGUGGAAGGCAGAAGACUGAUGUGCCAGUCAAGGACAGUCAGGGAAGAAAGGAAAACAACAAUUUACUACUCAAAGAAACCCACUGAAUGUGGAGGAAAAUGAAAGCCAAGGAGCCAGUUGGUAAAUCCCUAAAGAGUAACACAGCUGUCAAAAUGCAGACUCAUCAGGGGAAAAGAACGUAGGACUCCUGCAGGACUCUACCUUAAGCACUAGGUAAGUGCUGGGGAUACACCACAGCAGUGCUCAUGUGUGGAGCUUCCAUGCAAGCUGCAAAAGAGGCAAAUGCAAAGACAAGUAAAAUGUUAAGAGUACCAGGAACAACUAAUAAAAUAUGGCACCGUGAGGAAGAUGACGAUUCUCUGUAUUCUGAAGAGGUGGUGUUUCCUGAGACAUGAUGAUGAGCAGAAGUGAGCCAUGCAGAAUCUGGGGCAAGAGAACUCCCAAGAGUGAAAACCAAGGCAA